rnacentral:rRNA from 1 species
UAACCAGGAUUCCCCUAGUAACGGCGAGUGAAGCGGGAACAGCUCAAGACGGUAAUCCCGCUCUUUAACUGGAGCGGGAGUUGUAGUCUAUGGACGUUGCUACUGCGGUGCGUGUUGCGGCCCAAGUCCCUUGGAACAGGGCGCCAGAGAGGGUGACAGCCCCGUCCGGCCGCAACGGCGCCAGUAUGUGCGACAGUCCGAGAGUCGGGUUGUUUGGGAAUGCAGCCCUAAGCGGGAGGUACACACCUUCCAAAGCUAAAUAUUCAGGCAAGAGACCGAUAGCGAACAAGUACCGUGAGGGAAAGUUGAAAAGCACUCUGGAGAGAGAGUGAAAAGUACGUGAAACCACGGGUAGGGAACCGCUUGCACGGGACAAUGAGCAGCAGGCCGAUUCGUCGGCCUGUUGCCGCCCAGCACGAGUUUGCGCUGCCAGAGAAGCGCUCGGCAAAGGUAGCACUCUUCGGGGUGUGUUAUAGGGCCGGGCGCGCGCUGGUGGCGUGGACUGAGGACAGCGGCACCCCCUUUAUUGGGGCGUCGGCGAGAACGGCGAGGCCCUGCUGGGCACGCGGACAAGACAGCAUGCUGACUUGGCUGCGUGGCUGGUGGGCUACCUUGCCUCGCACGGCGUAGUUGCCGACGGGUGGCUGGG